rnacentral:lncRNA from 1 species
AUGAAUAACGUCACCAAAAUGGAUGUGAUCAGAGUUGUGCACACUGGGUCUGCCUCUGCUUUGUAUUUGGAGUGCCUUGGUACAUCUAGCAUGCUGGGAGCUUUGCCAUGUGUGCAGCAAGAUUCUCCACGCCCCGAGACUCUGACAUUCCUGAGCUUCCACCGCAGGCUUCAGUUUGGUGACUGCUCUCUCUGGCUGAACUUCUGGAAGGUCGCAAUAGCAGCUUUAUCCAUGGCAGCACAAAGCAGUUUCCUCUGCUGGAGAUGAAAAGAAAGAUGUUUCAUUUUUUUUGUUUGUUUGUUUUCUUCAGUGAGGCAAUUGGGGUUAAGUGACUUGCCCAGAGUCAUAGAGCUAGGAAGUAUUAUGUAUCUGAGGCUGGAUUUGAACUCAGGUCCUCCUGACUUCAGGGCCAGUGCUGUAUCCACUGUGCCACCUAGCUGCCCCAAAAGAAGACAUUUCAAAGAAAGGUGGAGGGAUCAUAAGGCUCAGGCAGUGGGCCUGGCAGCCAGACUGCCCAAGGACCCUUCACUGUUGCCAAUUUAAAUGUUAAAUAUGUGAAAAAAAAGUUUGAGAAGCAUUGCCUUAAUUCUCACUCUAAUCCAUCUGUAGGUACAAGCCUAGCUAUGGCCCUCCUCUAUUCUGAAUACCAGUAGCUCCCUAUUACUUCUAGGAUCAAAUAGAAAGUGUUUAGCUUUACCACCUGGCCCCAAUCUAACUUCAACCUUGCAUAUUACUUUCCUUCCUGAACUCUUACGUCUAGCUAUAUAGGCUUUCUGAGGGAUUUUGGUAGUGCAGUGGCUGCAGUACUGGCCCUUGAGUCAGGAAGACCUGAGUUCAAAUCUAGCUUCAGACACCUACUAGCUUUAUGGUGGUGGGCAAAUCAUUUAACCUCUGUUAGCUUCAGUUUUCUUAUCUGUAAAAUGGGGAUAACAACAGUACCUACUUCUCAAGGUUGUUGUGAGGGUCAAGUGAUAGAAUAUUUGUAAAGUGCUUAGCACAGGGCCUGUCACAUAGCAGGCACUUAAUAAAUCUUCCUGCCUUGCUUCUCUCCUUCUUGCU